rnacentral:rRNA from 1 species
GGGAGGCAUCAGUGGGGAAUAUUGGACAAUGGGCGCAAGCCUGAUCCAGCCAUGCCGCGUGUGUGAAGAAGGCCUUCGGGUUGUAAAGCACUUUCAGCGAGGAGGAAAGGUUGUAACUUAGUACACUGCAGCUGUGACGUUACUCUCACAACAACCACCGGCUAACUCCGUGCCAACAUCCGCGGUAAUACGGAAGGUGCAAGCGUUAAUCGGAAUUAGAGGGCGUAAAGAGCGCGUAGGUUGUUUGUUAAACGAGAUGUGAAAGCCCCGGGCUCAACCUGGGAACUGCAGUUCGAACUGGCAAGCUAUAGUACGUUAAAGGGUGGGGGAAUUUCCUGUGUAGCAGUGAAAUGCGGAGAGAUGGGAAGGAACAUCAAUGGCGAAUGCGGCCACCAGGACUGAUACUGACACUGAUGUGCGAAAGCAUGGGGAG